rnacentral:lncRNA from 1 species
AUGCGGGGCCGCCCCAUAGAUGCAGGGCCGUGCCCCAUAGAUGCAGGGCCGUGCCCCAUAGAUGCAGGGCCGUGCCCCAUAGAUGCGGGGCCAUGCCCCAUAGAUGCGGGGCCGUGCCCCAUAGAUGCGGGGCCGCCCCAUAGCGCUGCCCCCCCAGGUGCUGGUGCUGCGGCGCGGCUGGGACACGGCGCUCCAGGCCCUGAACGUCACCAUGAGAACCGGCACCGACACGGCACCGUGACAACACCGGCACCGCCAACAACACCGACACCAACACCGGCACCGGGACCAACAACACCGACACCAACAACACUGACACCAACAACACCGGCACCGGCACCGGGACCAACAACACCGACACCAACACCAACACCACCAACACCGACACCAACACCGGCACCGGCAACACCAACACCAACACCGACACCAACACCGACACCGACACCAACACCGGCACCGGCAACACCAACACCGACACCAACACCGACACCGGCACCAACACCGGCACCAACACCAGCACCGCCAACAACACCACCACCAACACCGGCACCAACACCGGCACCGCCAACACCACCACCACCAACACCGGCACCAACACCGGCACCGCCAACACCACCACCACCAACACCGGCACCAACACCGGCACUGCCAACAACACCAACACCACCAACACUGGCACCGACACCAACACCAACAACACCGACACCGGCACCAUCACCAACACCGGCACCAGCAACACCAAGACUGACGCCGACACUGUCACCAACACCCGUGUCACUGUCACCUGUAUCCCCAUCACUGCCACCUGCGUCGCCGUCACCCGUGUCACCAUCACGGUGUCACCUGGAUCCUUGUCACCGUCACCAGUGUCACCUGGAUCCCUGUCACCACCACCCAUGUCACCGUCACAGUGUCACCUGUGUCCCUGUCACUGUCACCCGUGUCACCAUCACGGUGUCACCUGGAUCCCUGACACUGUCACCUGUGUCACCAUCACCGUGUCACCAUCAUGGUGUCACCUGGAUCCCUGUCACCGUCACCUGUGUCACCAUCAUCGUGUCACCUGGAUCCCUGUCACCAUCACCUGUCACUGCCACCCAUUGUCACCGUCCCCAUGGAAAUAAAGAUCCCCGCUGA